GACGAACGCUGGCGGCGUGCUUAACACAUGCAAGUCGAACGAUGAAGCUGGAGCUUGCUCCGGUGGAUUAGUGGCGAACGGGUGAGUAACACGUGAGCAAUCUGCCCUUGACUCUGGAUAACUGCGGGAAACUGUAGCUAAUACCGGAUAUGAGGCUUGGAGGCAUCUCCAGGCCUGGAAAGGAUUUCGGUCAAGGAUGAGCUCGCGGCCUAUCAGCUAGUUGGUGAGGUAAUGGCUCACCAAGGCGACGACGGGUAGCCGGCCUGAGAGGGUGACCGGCCACACUGGGACUGAGACACGGCCCAGACUCCUACGGGAGGCAGCAGUGGGGAAUAUUGCACAAUGGGCGAAAGCCUGAUGCAGCAACGCCGCGUGAGGGAUGAAGGCCUUCGGGUUGUAAACCUCUUUUAGCAGGGAAGAAGCGAAAGUGACGGUACCUGCAGAAAAAGCACCGGCUAACUACGUGCCAGCAGCCGCCGUAA
rnacentral:rRNA from 1 species